GCUGGUAAAUUUGGUUGGGCCGCCUGUGGAUGAUUCUGCCUCGCCAAUGGCUGAGAAAUUUUUUCAGUUAGGUCGUGUGCGUAUUUUUCCUGUCGCUCAAUCUUCAUUCAAAACCGAUGCUUCUGGGGGCCAAGUAUUAAUAUAUUGACUGGUGAAGAUGAUCUUAGUUUUUGGGAGGUUAUGAGCUUUCCUUAAUCAGGAUUCUCGAAGGGUCUAUAAGAAGAAUCGAGUUGGGCCAGUUGAUGGAUGGAGCAAGCAUUUCAUUGUCGAGCUUACAAGACUACAAGGUAUGCAACUUUUCAAGCCGUAUGCAAAGAGCAAGAUAGGAAAUUAAGGAAAAACAAAAAGAGCUUGCUAGCCAUAACCAUGUGUGUUGCAUCAGAUCAUCUCAAGAAGGUCAAGUCCAUAGCUACUUGAUUUGAAAGAGAUGCCCAAACUUGUGCAAACUAAUCUAUCUAGAUAAUGGAAUAUGACUAUUUUGAGGUAAAAGGUUGCUAAUCAUACCCUAUGUGAUUGGAAAUCUUAGAUUGAAAGAUUAAUGCUCAAUACUAGCUCCUCCCAUGAAUUUUGUAUCAAAAGAUCCUUAAAACAUAAUUCGAGGUCAAAUGUCUCACCCAAAUAUUGGCUCAAUCGACCUCCUAGUGAGUUAUUAAUCUUAUUGUGUAUAGUAUGUCCAAAUCAAACUUGGUCUGUGAAUGGACCUUUAGAGAUGCCUAUUGAAUGAGUUAAGGUGACUGCCCACUCCCUACUCCACCAAGGUUCAAUAUGGAAAUAGAUCAUCAGGAGGAUACUCGUAUGCCAAUGUCAUCUAUUUUGGUCUUGCGCUACUAUGGAGUUCGCAACAAACAAUGGCUACUAUAGCCGCACACUUUCUUUUUCUCCCUCUUUUAUAUCAUAGCAAUUUAGUCAUAGACAACGCCCUAUAUUUUUCAGUCAUAUAUUUAUCGAUGGUUCCUCUUCCCCUCCUUGGGCAUAGAGGUCUUCAAAUCCUACUCCUUAGAGAUAGUGCUUUUGUAGCUUUGGUCAAGGCCAUUUUGCUAAGCACCAACAACUUUUGUGUUUUUCUUGACUUCAUUCAACUCAUUAAGCAAAUCAUUGUCUCAAAGAGUUGUAGAGGGCACUUUUGAAGGUGUUUUGGUCUUCUUGUUUCUUGCUAUAAUGCUAUCACUUCAACAAUGAAAGCAUGUCUUUAUAAUUUGAAUCAUGACUAUAAGUUAGAAUCGAUAGGAUAUGUAUUGGAAGCUAGAGGGGGUGAAUGGCAUUUGAUUUGAAAUUAAGAUCUUUAACUCUCACUAAUACUUUGCAAGGUCACACAAUUGAAUUAGUAUAAUGGAAAUAUAAAUCAUAAACAAACAAGUGCUAAUACAUAGGAUUUACAUGAUUUGGAACCACCGUUUUCUACUCCAUAACCUAUAAUUCUUGAAGUGGGUUACUCCUGAAUCAUACUAACUUUUUUCUUUUGGGAGGUGGAGAAACCUCUUACAAAAAUCUUACAAGAAUGAGUAUAAGUAAGACAACUAUAAUGAUAGAACUACAAUUGAAACAAUGAGAGCACAAGGAAGUAGGAACUUAAGCUUAGUUAACCAUUGAUUUGACAGUCUUGCAAAGCUCCGCUUGGUCCUCUAUCUAUAGCAUCCAAGUAGUCUUCAAAUAAUAUUUACUUCAUGUUCUAUAGCACCUCAAUUAACUCAACCAUUUCAGUUUCUAUUUUCACAAUCGCUUCAACUUUCUACUUGGCAACAAAUCUCUCAAUCGACUUACCCUAAUUUCAAUCUACUACUUUGCUUGGUAACAACUCCUUUAGUCUACUCACUCUGAUUUCAAUUGAUUGAACCACUUUAUCGUGUAAGGCAUCGACAGCCACAACUUUCCUUUGCCUAAUCAAUGAUCAUAUUUUUUACUCUUAUUAGGGAUUUAGUUGGUUGCCUAGCUGACUCCACUCUGAUUUUUUUUUUUUCAUGAGAAGAUCCUUAAGUUGACUCCAUAAUCAACUCAUCACAUCACUCGACUAAGAUCAACCUCCAAUUGUCUAAAACGUUUAAAUACGACCAAAUUAUUGGUUGAGUCAUCAUUAAAGUAAAGAACUGCCUUAAUUCAAAUUAUAAGUACAGUUGACUCUCACAACUAACUUAAGAGUACUUGUUGCAAUUUUACUUUGCCCAUUAGGUCAUCACCCAUCAAAUUGUCAGUCUUUUGGAUGCAUUGAGCCCUCUUCUUUCUACAUAUCAUUCUUAACUUGUUCACCUAUGUAGUUUGCUUUUUUGGCUCCAUCAAAGCUGUCAACUCAAUUGUCCUUGUCCUGCUCUACAAUCCUUCUUUGAUGUUUAAUGGACCUUUGAGUUAUUGGGUCAACACCAACUUGGUCGCACUAGUCAAACUUUGCGAGCUUCAUGUACAUUCUACCAAAAAUCUAUACAAUAUCAUGCAAACAUUAGAAUCACAGGCGAAUUUAACUUAAAUCCUUUGACUAACACAUCAAAACAUUUUGGUCGAGCAUGAUCACGUAGGGCAUGAUUAUUUUAUACAUUAUAUUCUCUCUUAUACUUGCAUGUCUCCUUUUUCCUUGUUCAAUAUGAGGACCCUUUACUAUUUAUAUUGUCAUUCCCAUUUGAUCUACCUUCAAUGAUGUUGUGGCUAUCCCUAUGGAGGACUACAAAAUAUUUACUAUAAGAUAUUGGUUAUUUGCUUACUUUGUCUUCUCGUUAAUGAACUCCUAAAAUUUGAGGUUUCUUUGUUGAACAUAACUACUUUUUGGGUCUCUAGGUGGAGCUAGGUGAGGUUCCAUUGGGGGAGGGAGUACCUUCAUUAGGACUUGUCUAAUUAGGCUUUCAUUGUUUUGCUGAUAAGUUGAUGUCUUCCAUCAUCUAAUGGGAAGAUGGUGCACACUUUUUUUAAUGAGAAAUUCCUUCAGUGCUUAGUUUUAUCUAUAUUGUCAUUGAUGAUAUCUUUUUUGUUGUUGUUGAAGUUAAGCAACCAUUGUGAAUCUAUUGUCUUUCUCUACCUUCUUUUAGUUUAUUCUCACUUGGGGAAGCCAAUAAUGAUUCUCCAAAGAACUCUCUAAUCAACAUCUCUGCUAGCAAACUUUGGGUGGUUCUUUUUUAUGCCUUCUUUGAGCUCUUUGUCGCAUAAUAAGGAGCUAAUAAUUACUCCAUAUAUGAACUACCAUGUUGGUAAGAUCUUGGAUAAGGUUCAGACAACUAUUUUACAGUGUUCUAAAAAUCGGCCUAGGCGGGUCCACUUAGGCGCUAGGCGCCAACCAGCCGCACUGAAAAUAUGUUAGUCGGCUAGCCUAGGUGGCCUUGGCGCCUAGGCGGGAUUAGACAGGCCUAGGCGUCGACUAAUUGGUUGAAUUGUAUAAGCACGACGGAAAUAGUGUAGGGUUUUCAUGAUUUUUUUUAGUUUGAGCUUUUAAAUUUAAAGUCCAAUUAUAAAAAAAAAAGAAAUAUAAUAUUUUUUUUUGUAUUGGGCUUAAAUUUUAUCUUGCCCUAGCGGUUAGCACUAAACUUCAUUUUUAUCAUACUGAGUAAUCAGAGUUGGAGAAAUUAGAGUAAAUGAAGAAGCCCACAUUUAUGAGAAAUCAAAGAGUUAAAAGGUGGGAGAAAUCUAUUUGAAGAAAAAUUUAUUGUCUGAUAUUUUCUUAACUGAGCGACUUGAAAGCGAUUAAAUUGAAGGUUUGGCUAAAGCCUCAUCCUUUGGAAAUAUCAUUUCAUCAGACAACCUCGAAGAAGCUCUAGAGUGAGGGAACUUCACGAGGAUGAUUUUACAUCUGAAGAAAAAGAA